rnacentral:lncRNA from 1 species
GUCCUCUUCCCACACAGACCGUUAGAACAAGCUUCCCCGGCUCCGUCACUUCUCAUUGAAUAUCCUCCAUCCUCCACCAUCCGGCGGCGACGCCUCCCGCACUGCCUCCUGCCCCGCCUAGCAACCGUCUGCAUCAUCAAGCCAACCUUCCACCCUAACUGUCUGUCUAUAUCCAAAGAUGCAAGAAAAAACUCAUCAAAGCUCGAAUUACAAACCCUUAACCUUGUGACCUCAUUGGAGCUCCCCAGAGAUGGAGUAGAUGGGGAGAUGGCUUGAAUCUUGCCGGAUUAUCGAUGGUGCGUGAAAGGUGAGAAAUACCAAGUUUAAUUCCAAUUCCUUAUAUAUCUAUCAAUAUCAUCGAAGAUGCUCUAAUACAAACGAUUUGGGCAGGGAGCAAAAGCCGGAUGAGUUUCCUUUGGUAGAGCAAAAUCUCUAGGAAACGACAAUGAAAAAUGAACUGUCACGGAACCCUAGAUAGAUGGCCAGUCCUUCCACCAAAAUCCUCUCAGGAGGGCCUCCACGCAAAAAAUGCCGACCAGGGUCCACGGUAGGGGCUUCGGCGACGGCUGGGCGAGCGGCGUCGCGCCUUGCCAGUUCUUGGUCGGGACCUUCGCCGGCGACGAGUAUCCACUAGGUACGCGCAUCCCCUUCCCACUGUGCGAAACCGAGUGCCCCAGACCAUAAUGUAAGCUAUUUGUAUUGACCCUGUACUGGAUCGGUCCCUGGUUGAGAUGAGGCCGGAUGUGAAAAGGGGGGGACUGGGAAAAAAUUAGUGUGGUGGGUUGUGUAAUUAUUGUUGCCCAUCUGUAGCUCUUGCCUUCUUGAUAUUGUGUGGGGAAGAUGAUGCCUUUUGCUCUCUUCUGUGUGUAGAUCUGUUAGUUUUCCUGUCCUGUAUGCAUUAAGGAGCAGGCCUGCAAACUGGCUGCACAUGUCUCCUUCCCUCCGUCCCUACUCAUUUGUUCACACAGGGUCAGUGAUCAGUUGCAUAACACUAUGCAUUAUUUACCAGGUAAGUACAAUGUAUUUGGAUCAAGUAGUCCUUAAUGGUGAGCCAUGUGUUUGUAGUCCGUAGCUAUUGCAAAUUUUACAAUGAUCAGCCCAAAAGCAGGUAGUAGUGGUGGGACAUGGAGAGAGGAAAGUAAGAAGAGGGAUAGAGAGAGGGAGAGAACUGAGAGAGAUAAAUUAUUAUUUUAUUUCUUAUGGGUAGCUCAUAAGUUUAUGGACACCUUUUGCUAUAGGCUACCUUAUGGAUCACUCCCACAAUAUGAAUACGUCAGGUUGGUGGAGUGAAAUAUUUUAGUCCUUAUGAACGGCCUUUGGAGCACAUUGUGGUUGCCCUCACACUGAAAUCUGGUGGUGAAAUAACGUAUCGCACAACAGAUUUCAGUGAUAGCAUUUGCUUGUCACCUGGAGGUGCACAACUCAUGGAGAAGCCCGAAGGAAAGACUAUUCCUUUUUUUCUAAAAAAUUCGGUUAUUUACAAUUGUCCACAGCAAGUUUGAGCUUGUUGAAUUGCAUAUUCAUAUAUCAGAGACACCACUCACGUCCCUUCCAUUAGAGUGGGACGGGAUGGGACGAUCCCAUCUCGCCCCACGUUUGAUUCGGAGAUACGAGGGACGAGUCCAUCCCUG